rnacentral:tRNA from 1 species
CGGAAUGUGGUCAAGUGGUUAAGAUUCUACAUUUGGGAUGUAGAUGCGCAGGUUCGAUUCCUGCCAUUCCGA